UUAAGUUCAUCCAAUGAAUUGCAUUUUUUUAGUUUUUGCACACACUUUUUUUCAGAUGAUAAUAAUUGGUUGGAGCCUAGAUUUAUUAACUUAAAAUCAUUACAUACUUCGAUAUUUUUUGGUGUUAUCAUGUUUAACUUACCUUUAUCAACUAUUUCAUGUGUGAUAUUGCUACGAGACAUAUAAGUUUGUUGAUUCAAAUUAAUUUGUUCAAGCGACAACUGUGCGGCUUGUUUUUUUGCAAUUUUCUUGGCAUGAUCUUUGCUCAUAGAUUUAUAGGUACCAGCAGAACACAUUAUGAUUCCAAGUACGAGUUACGCAUAACUCUUGAAGUUUACCGAUGUAAUUGAUGGAUUGUGCCAAUUUAACAGUACUCUCUAGACAUGGUGGAUUUGUUGAGUUCAGUAAAUAGUCAUCUAUUUCAGAAAUAAAUGUCAGCUUGUCCAAAAA